rnacentral:piRNA from 1 species
UGCCUGAUGAUCUGAGAUGGAACGGU